rnacentral:rRNA from 1 species
UGUCUCCACCCGAGACUCAGUGAAAUUGAACUCGCUGUGAAGAUGCAGUGUACCCGCGGCAAGACGGAAAGACCCCGUGAACCUUUACUAUAGCUUGACACUGAACAUUGAGCCUUGAUGUGUAGGAUAGGUGGGAGGCUUUGAAGUGUGGACGCCAGUCUGCAUGGAGCCGACCUUGAAAUACCACCCUUUAAUGUUUGAUGUUCUAACGUUGACCCGUAAUCCGGGUUGCGGACAGUGUCUGGUGGGUAGUUUGACUGGGGCGGUCUCCUCCUAAAGAGUAACGGAGGAGCACGAAGGUUGGCUAAUCCUGGUCGGACAUCAGGAGGUUAGUGCAAUGGCAUAAGCCAGCUUGACUGCGAGCGUGACGGCGCGAGCAGGUGCGAAAGCAGGUCAUAGUGAUCCGGUGGUUCUGAAUGGAAGGGCCAUCGCUCAACGGAUAAAAGGUACUCCGGGGAUAACAGGCUGAUACCGCCCAAGAGUUCAUAUCGACGGCGGUGUUUGGCACCUCGAUGUCGGCUCAUCACAUCCUGGGGCUGAAGUAGGUCCCAAGGGUAUGGCUGUUCGCCAUUUAAAGUGGUACGCGAGCUGGGUUUAGAACGUCGUGAGACAGUUCGGUCCCUAUCUGCCGUGGGCGCUGGAGAACUGAGGGGGGCUGCUCCUAGUACGAGAGGACCGGAGUGGACGCAUCACUGGUGUUCGGGUUGUCAUGCCAAUGGCACUGCCCGGUAGCUAAAUGCGGAAGAGAUAAGUGCUGAAAGCAUCUAAGCACGAAACUUGC